rnacentral:misc_RNA from 1 species
AACGCACAUUGCGCCCUCUGGUAUUCCGGGGGGCAUGCCUGUUCGAGCGUCAUUACACAACCCUCAAGCACUGCUUGGUGUUGGGUGCCACCUUUUGUGCACCUUAAAAUCAGUGGCGGCGUUCUGCAGCUUUCCAGCGUAAUAAAUUUUUCGCUCUGGAGCCUGUCAGGAACACUGCCAACAACACUCAUUUAAUCUAAAGGCUGACCUCGGAUCAGGUAGGGAUACCCGCUGAACUUAA